AGGAGAUUGCCACGGGGCAGGUCCCUUUUGUGGUAUCGUGUGCCUGAAUGGAAUAAUAACCUAAAAAUAUUGUUUAUUUUUUUGUUUCCAAAUUAUUUUUUAUACAAUUUCUUUCACCCUGGGAAUAAAGUUAAAAUUAAUUAAUAGUUAAACAUUACGUCGACAUCCGUUUGAUUGGUAAACAAAAAAAAGUUGCCAGAUAUCAAAUAACUAUUGAAAAUUACGUAUUUUAAUCAAUAGAGUAAUCGAUAUCAAAACAAAACAGUUAUUAAAAAUAAAAAAAUACAAUUAUUUUUAAUUAUUAUUCUAACUAUAUUCAUGAUAAGUCUAUAUUGUUGAACAGAUAAGAUAAGAUAGAUAAGAUAAGAGCGAUUUUAAAUUAAAAUAAAAGCCUUACGUAAUUUAAAAACUUAAAUCGAUUUAUUAAUGAUUAAAUAUAAUUGCUCUGGCAACAUUUACUUGCGCAUGUCACAUCACUUUGACGUUCGUUCGUUGUGUGUUCGUGAUUGCUUUGUAUAAUACGUUGAGUUUUGAAUUCCGUAUUUACUUAGUUAUUAUUUACGAUACGUGCCUUUCUGCUACCACCGAGUUGAGCUAAUAAGUUCCUCGCGUACUUACUUUAUGUUUUGUGAGAUAAUUGACUCCUCUUUGUGAGAUAUUGACUCUAAGUGCUUGACUCUUGUUUGUGCUGUUCUUUGUGAGAUAAAGUGCUAUUCUUGGAGAACAAUUUGACUCUUAGUGAAAUCCUUGUGUGAUAUUGAACUCCCGAACUGUUUUGUCAGAACUAUGUCUACCCCAGCCAGAAGUCGGGCACACCGCCUGUCUUACCGACGCUGUAUUAACUGUUCCCUUUACUAGCGUCUAAUUUACGCCGGUAUACAGUUGAGGAGUUGAACGAGCAAAUGACAGUUCUUCUACGAACUUGGACAACGCCUACACCUGUAAGUUAUCGUGUGCAUAAACAAUAAUAAUUAUUGUGGACAAUAUAAAUAUAGUGGUUAAAUGCAUUAUGCAAACUCAAAAUAACAUUUGAUUAGAGUAAACUUAGCACUGUAAACUUAGUUCUUUAUGAGAGUUUAUGUAUUUACAAGUUUAAGCAGUUAUAAAUAUAGAAUAGUAUAGAAUAUAAUCUUUUCCAGGUAACGUCAGAUGAUAUCCUAUGUAUUGAAUGUUAUUUGCUGUUGCAAGAAAGGAUAUUGUCAAAUAUAACUGGAUCCCACGAGGAUAUAUCACCUGCAUAUGGUCACUUAAAUGUUUGUUAUGGAUGUGGUAUCUCUGUUGCAAGUCGGAGAACCCACAGAGUUGAGUUAGACUGUCCACAACGUAGCAUGAUUUUAAGAUGGACUUUAGCACAUCUGGUUCCACAUUUACAAAAAGUGUGCAUUCCUUGCUGGUUAGCAGCAACUCGGGAGACGAGACGUUUGGAGGUUCAAGAUUCAAACAGACCUGCAAGGGUCAUGGAUGCAGCUCUAUCUUCAUUAGAAGACCCCGAGAUACCUGAACCACCUCCAAUGCCAGCUCCAACAUCUCAACCACAACAAGCAUUACGAGUUCAAUCUAAGAUUAACUCACAAAAGUAUAAACGAGUUGCUGCAGCUUCUCGUCACUGUAUGUUUGUAGGCUGUGAUAAUGAUGAACGUCUUUUAGUACCUAUGACUAUAAAGGAACUGUUGUUAUUGCAGUACAAUAUAUAUAUACCUUUAAAUGCUAGAAUCUGUCAUCACCAUUUAUAUAGCAAUCAGUGGGAUGAACUGACUACCAACCUAAAUGACUUUACUAGCUUUCAAGUUGAUGAUAUAUUUUCCAUACUGGAAAGAGCUUCUCAAAGAAGUUUAGAUUAGAUUAGAUUAGAUUACUCGGGCUGGUUUCCGCAACUCCACGACAAAGCGCGUAUUUUGCGUGUGAGGGUGAUAAUGGGUGUUUAUUCACUCGAUCCACCCCAACUCCUCGAGAAAAGCCAGCAGAGGUUUAAUUUUGCUGACUAUCUCUUGGAUAGUACCUGGGUUACCGAAGUACUUAGCCCUGUAUAUGGCGGUUUCAGGGCAGUCUAGUAGCACGUGUGCCGCUGUUUCUUCUUCCCCCAUGCAGGCUCUGCAUAAGGGACUGUCUGUAACUCCUAUAACAUAGAGGUGUUUAUUGAAGGAGCCGUGUCCAGUUAGAACUGCCGUAAACUUACGUAAAUUCUGCUUUGAUAGGCCCAUCAGCUGUUUAGUGAGGCGAUCGUUGAUGGUCGGGAGGGCCAUCUUCGCCUGCCUGCACGCGCUGUGGUUAGUCCAGAGGUGGUUGUGUUUGUGCCUAGUACGCUGUCUUACCAGUGUUCGUAGGUGGCCGAAGGGAGUGGCAGUAUGGGUUCUGGUCCUACUGCUGUUUGGUCUGAUCCCCUUCUCGCCAGCUCAUCCGCUGCAUCGUUGCCUCGGGAGCCACUGUGUCCUUUUAUCCAUUGAAUGGUUAUGUUAUUUAAACUGCCUACCUUGUUUAACCGUUGGUGGCACUCGUGUAUAAGGCCGGAGUUUGCGCAGUGUUUGCUUAGGGCCUGUAUUACUGCCAUGCUAUCUGAGAGUAUUCGGAUAGAGUGACCGGUUACUUCCCGCUUUAUGACUGCUUCGGCCGCUAGGGAGAUGCCUAUACAUUCAGCUUGGAAUACUGUAUUAUGUACUCCUAGGGGUGUGAAUAUGUGUAUGUUUAGGUCUUCUGAGAAGAGGCCUGAACCUGUGCCGGUGCUUGUUUUGGAU